rnacentral:lncRNA from 1 species
CCUGAACAUGUUCCUGCCUUCCACCUUAUUAGUAUCUUGAAAAGACACAUUGCCAGUUACCAUACUGUUUGUUUAAAUACUUCUGAGCCAAAUAACAAAGAAAAAUGGUAAAAACAUUGGUCAUUAAACUUUCCUUAAAUAACUCUUUUUUCUUACUUUUAUACACGGAAUUGGUUUCUAUUAAACAAGAUAUGCGAAUCCCUUUAAAUUAUAUUUUGCAUAUGCUUAUCUUGUCAUCUUAAAAUGUGUUAAUACUGUAUAAAAUAAGUGCUCAUGAAAAAAUAUCUAGAUAAUUUUUUAUGUACUACCUUCUAGUUUUUUCAAUUAUCCACAAAACCAAAAGUGAGCUCCUUUAGUUACAGGUUAUAAUUAAUAUAAAUGAUUACAGAGAAAGAGGAACAUGUAUGCAAGAUAAUAAAUAUGGUUUGAAAGUUCAUUAAGGGAAUUUUUUUCAGUUUAUUAAAAUGGUAAUGUAAAAAUAAUACAUGCAUAUUGAUAAUAUAUAAGCGAUUAAGUUAAUUACAUUUAAAAGAUAAGAUUAAAAGCUUCAACUUUAUCUUCUCUUUGCAUGGAUGUAUGUAUGUCUUAGCAAUACAUAAAAAUAUAUAAAUACCUAUAAAUAUAUAUAUUACAUACACAAAAUAUAUGAACAUUAAUUCAAAGGCUUAUACAUAAUUUUAAAUGACAAAUUUAACAGCAUAUUGUCAAUGAAAAAUAUUCAUGAGAAGAAAAUUUAUUUAUCUGACAAAGGCAUAUCAGGUACUGUGAACAACUAACACAAAAGUA